GACGAACGCUGGCGGCGUGCUUAACACAUGCAAGUCGAACGGAAAGGCCCUGCUUUUGUGGGGUGCUCGAGUGGCGAACGGGUGAGUAACACGUGAGUAACCUGCCCUUGACUUUGGUAUAACUUCAGGAAACUGGGGCUAAUACCGUAUAGGAGCUCCUGCUGCAUGGUGGGGGUUGGAAAGUUUCGGCGGUUGGGGAUGGACUCGCGGCUUAUCAGCUUGUUGGUGGGGUAGUGGCUUACCAAGGCUUUGACGGGUAGCCGGCCUGAGAGGGUGACCGGACACAUUAGGACUGAGAUACGGCCCAGACUCCUACGGGGGGCAACAGUGGAGAAUAUGGCAAAAUGGGCGGAAGACUGAUGCAGCAACGCCGCGUGCGGGAUGACGGCCUUCGGGUUGUAAACCGCUUUCGCCUGUGACGAAGCGUGAGUGACGGUAAUGGGUAAAGAAGCACCGGCUAACUACGUG
rnacentral:rRNA from 1 species